ACUCUCUCUCUCUCUCUCUCUCUCUCUCUCUUUUUUGCUUAUAUUCAUUUGCUCAAAAUACUUUUAUUUGUUUACAAUAAUUCUUUUUAAGAGAUAGGUAACACACUAUCCGUUUCGUUUAUUUCAUUUAGAAAUAAAUUUAGCUGAAAAUGUGAAUCAACUAGGAGAGUGUGGCUACUAUGCUAUCGGAAGCACGAAGCCUUCCGUGCUUCCAACUCGUUUUUGAUAUUGCGACUUUCGAAUCGUCGAUCGGCUCCGUUAAACUUGAUCUAGAGUAUUUGGAGUACCUAGAAAAUAAAUUAUAUGAUUUUACAAUAUCAUUUGCCUAGUGAACGAAGGGGCUCAAAAUCAACGGCUGAAAAUAAAAAUCUUACAAAAUGUAAUAAUAUGACAUUAAAAUUUUAAAUCAAAGAUAUUGAUCUUGUUUUAUAUAGUAUAAAGAAUUUUCUAUCAAAAUUUCACGUGAUUUAGAUAUUUCUACACCGUUAAACUUGCAAACGGCUCACUACGGCCAUUAAAAUUUGUUGAUUUUGAGCCCAUUCGAUCACUAGGCAAAUGAUAUCGAAAAUUAAUAAAAUUUAUUUUCUAGGUACUCCAAAUACUUUAGAUCAAUUUUAACGGAGUCGAUCGACGAUUCGAAAGUCGCAACAUCGAAAACGAACUGAAAGCACGAAAGGCUCCGUACUUCCGAUAGCAUAGUAGCCUCACUCUCAACUAGGAUUCAAACUUAGGACCUUAGGUACCAUCCACCAAAUCCUAUGCCACUUGCUCUAAGGACGGUCGGUAUUUGUUUACAAUAAUUUAAAAAAAAGCUCCGCAUACUAUCUCUAUAGUUCAACGUUUUCUCACUUUAGUAUUAUGUGGUUUAAAUUGUAUCAUUUUAGUAUCAUAUAGUUUCGUUUUUCUCUUUCUGUUAUUCCUUCUGUUAAAUUUUUUUCGUUAAAUCAGUGAAAAAAUUAAAACCACAGAAUUGUAAAGUAAAAAUUUUAUAAAUCACGGAGUACUAAAGUAAUAUUUGAUAAAUUAUAGAAAAAAGUAUCUGGAAUUUUUUCUAUAUAUUUCAACGGAGAGUUGACAAAAAUACUGACGAAAAGAAAAAAAUUAAAUCACAGAAUAUUAAAAUAAGAAAGCGCUAAAUCACAAAAGAGAUAUUUGUAGUUAUUUUAUAAUUUAAUUAUAAUACAAAUAUUACUAUUUUAUCUGAAAAUUUUUUUAAAAAAAAUAACUCU
rnacentral:lncRNA from 1 species